rnacentral:misc_RNA from 1 species
AACUUUUGGCAAUGGAUCACUUGGUUCUGGCAUCGAUGAAGAACGCAGCGAAAUGCGAUAAGUAAUGUGAAUUGCAGAAUUCAGCGAAUCAUCGAAUUUUUGAACGCACAUUGCGCCUAAGAGUAUUCUUUUAGGCAUACCUGUUCGAGCGUCGUUUAAUAUUAUAAGGUUUUACCUUGCGUUGAUGAUAUGGAGUUUAAUCCAAUUAUCUAAACAUUUUGGCAAUUGAUAAUGGCCGAUUCGCAGCAAAAUGCGUAUGAAAACUAUUAAAGAUUUGCCAGUUUAUUUAUAUGAUUAUGAAUUUUAUUGUUGAUUUUUAUCAUUGUUGUUAUUAUUACUAUAUCAUCAUUAAAUUAUAUCAUCAUUAUUAUAUCAUAAUUAAUAUAUAUAUAUACAAAACUUCGACCUCGGAUCAGGUAAGAUUACCCGCUGAACUUAAGCAUAUCAAUAAGCGGAGGCU